AUCAAAAUAAAAUUGUAGUAUUUAAACCAAUAAUAAAAAAAUCAUCUUUCUAACCUUGAUUCGUUCUUCGCUAUCCAGUUUCUAAGAGUCGAAUAUUUUUGUAUAGAAUAGUCUUCCAAAGGACAUCUAGAAGACGACGAAGGUUGUAUUUGUUUUCCCUUCUUUUUCUUCUCUCGUUGUGAUGUUUCAGAACUUUCGACUUGUUGAGACGUUGAUGCAUCCUUCGGUCGAUCAUCAGGAAUUGGACAUAUACCAAUAGGAAUGUCUUCUUGCGUACAACUAAUAAUGGCUUCCAUGUCUGAUUUUCGUUCAAAUAAUUUUUGCAGCGUAUUCUUAUUUUGUUCAUCGACAUAAUAUCGAAUGGAAUCUAAACUGGCAUCUACAUAAGAGUGCAUGGUCUGGUAAUGGUCUUCUUGCCAUUUUUGUUGUCGUUGGAAUAAUUGUUCAUCUUUCUACAAAUGUGUGUUAAAAAAACUUGAUAAUGAGUUAUCCAUGUAGGAAUGCAUAGUAGAUUGCAUAUAAUCCUCUUGCCAUUUUUGGUGUUAUUCGAACAACUGUCUUUGAUUGUCAUAAACUUCUGUUCUCAAGUUGCCACAUAUAUCAAACACCUCUUUUAUUAUGUCUUGCUUCUGGACACCAAGUAGUUCUAUCAUCCGUCUUCAGUUACAUAAUUAGAGGUGCUAGAUCCAAAAUUAGGCACUGCUACUGGUGAAGUUCUUGACGUACUAGGAAUGGUCGUCUCUGGCACAUAUAUAUUAUCCCUUUCUUGCUCAAAAGUAUCAUUUGGGAUUUGUUGUGCCACAUUGUCUAAUUCUUCGCCGACGAUUCCAUCUAAUACAUGAUGUUCAUUAUCAGCUAGCAGUGAAAGAUUUAUAUACCAAGAUAUCUCCAAUUCUUCCUCCGUAGGAUGUAACAUUGAAAUAACCUGAAUUUGUAAUUUUAAUAAAAUACCAAAAUAAAUUUUUCAUUUUGUUUUUAAAUAAUUAAACAUAAAUGUAGUUAUAUAUUCAUUAAAAGAAAUCGUAUCUCUCGAGUAGCUAGAAAAUGCUUAAUCAUUUUUUUUCAAUCAGUAGUUUAUUAGACCUCCACUUAUACAUUCGUGGACUCUGUGCUGUUUUGUAUCGACGCCGUCCAAAUUUUUUUCCAAUUUCUAGAAAUGCCUCAUAAAUCCAAUACUGUAUCACAAUUACAAAUUACGAUUAUUUUUCUCUUACAAAUAAAUGAACUCAACAAAAGAAAAAAAUAUUAAUAAAAUUUCUGAAAUGCAAGUGGAUACCCUCUAAUGCAUACUUACAAUCUAUUUGUUCAUUCCGUUGCACUCGUUUUACUCUUUGCAAUUGUGAUUCUUGUAGUGAAUUUAACAAAAGAAAAAAUCAUUUUCGACCCCAAGGAUAUCCAAGAAAUUGAUCAGGGUGCUUGACCAUACCAAGAGUUUUGUAAUCAAUAAUUCUUCCAACUGGUUUUAUAUCACAUUCCACCAACAUAACUAAUCCCAACUUAAAUUUAUCUACUAAGUCCUCACAUUCAUGGAAAACUUCAAAUAGCAUUUUCAUGUUAAUUUUUUGACUACCAUUGAAAUAAUGAUUUUUAAGACGAUUGUUGC
rnacentral:lncRNA from 1 species